rnacentral:rRNA from 1 species
GCGGUAGGCCUAACACAUGCAAGUCGAACGUGAAGCCACCUUCGGGUGGUGGAAAGUGGCAGACGGGUGAGUAACGCGUGGGAAUCUACCCAAUGGUACGGAAUAACCCAGGGAAACUUGGGCUAAUACCGUAUGUGCCCGCAAGGGGAAAGAUUUAUCGCCAUUGGAUGAGCCCGCGUCGGAUUAGCUAGUUGGUGGGGUAACGGCCCACCAAGGCGACGAUCCGUAGCUGGUCUGAGAGGAUGAUCAGCCACACUGGGACUGGGACACGGCCCAGACUCCUACGGGAGGCAGCAGUGGGGAAUAUUGGACAAUGGGCGCAAGCCUGAUCCAGCCAUGCCGCGUGAGUGAUGAAGGCCCUAGGGUUGUAAAGCUCUUUCGGCGGGGACGAUAAUGACGGUACCCGCAGAAGAAGCCCCGGCUAACUUCGUGCCAGCCGCCGCCGUAAAAC